AGUUAAUCUAUAAAUAUCGGCGAAGAGAUAUCAUGUGAUCCUCUGUUAAAAAAGAAAAACAACAACAAUGGAAGUGUCGAAUUAACCAGAGAAAAGUGAGGGGAAAUGAAGAAAUGUUUAUGAUAGGGAGUGAGAAGGUUUUGGAACGUUCGAUGGAUGCUAAGCGCUAAUAAUGAUGUAGACUAUGAUCUAUCUUUUCACUAUCUCCUUUUUCUCUUUUCCUCCCUCAAACACAUGCCAUGCUUCCCCCUCUCUUCUCUCUCAUUUCCUUCACACACUCUUCCGUACACCCCGGUCCCCGCCACCACCCCCACCCACCCAUCUUCUCUCUUCCACGACGAUCAGUCUCUCCUUUCAAUUAACUCAUGUGAGUGAUGACAAGCUCCUUUUUCAGAAAGGAAUUGACUUUCCAAGAACUCAAUGCUGUGGGCAUUAGAAAGUGUCAAUUUUAUAUGUGACUCCAACAACAAGGUAUGGACAUGUUGUGAGCAUAUUAGGCCUAAACAACCCUUCCCUUCUCAACACCACCUUUCCUUUCUCCUUCUUUGAUUUCAGACUCCCCAUAUUUUACAUGGGAAUAGUAAAAAAGAAACACGUACAACAUACCCAAAUAGGCAUAUAGGAGACCUAAACCUAUAGCACCCUCAAUCAAUACAAGAAUAUACCACACCACACACAACCCGAGAAAAGAAAAAUUUGAAGUGCAAACUGCUGUGCAGAGAGCAACAGUGCUAGACUGCUAGCUGUAGUAACAAGGAAAGUAAAGCCUAUAUGAGGGUCCAUUGUGGCCACCUAUGACCACCUAAUUGGCCUAAAACUUUCGACUUUCGAGUUUUCACUUUCAUUUUCUCAGCCUUCUCUAGUUCUGUCUAAUGUAAUGUAAACAGCUUCUAACUUGUUGUAAGUAACCAGUUACCAAUCAAAGCCACUUUUUCUAGUCACAGAAAAACACAGCUGAAAGUUGAGAAUCAAAUCAACCUUUGUCUUCAUUCGGAGUCACGAAAUUUGUUUUCUUUAAAUGGAAACGGUUAUUAAAAAAUCUUGCUUUUUUUUCGGUGUCUGACUUUAAUGUUACACUACACUAAUAUCACAGAUAAUAGGCGGGGAUUACGAGGUGUGAUAUUAAGAUAAGAAAGGAGAGACAUAAACAUUACUAACACUAUCGCCGCUCGUGCGCUUUGGCAAUCUUCAUAUCACAAAAUACAGAUCUCGAGGCAUUUUCAGUUGUUCAUUUGCAGCCAUAUUUGGUUGAGGAGCUUUCUCUUUAGCUUUUGGUGUGGAUAAGGCCAUGGUAGCUUGGGGGGGUUGAUCAUGCUGAAUUUCGGCAUUGUUUGACUUGACAAUAACACGUAAUCCUGGUAUAGUCUCCACUUUGAACUAAGCUUGGACUUUGUUUCUGCUUUGUAUUUGAUGAUAUGAAUAUUCUAUGAUCUAUAUACACUAUUGGGGUGUGUGGAAUUGUUAAUUAGUAUUCUUUGAGUUGGGAGGUUUUGAACUUGCAAAUAAACUGUUGUCAUUUACUCAUUGGUGGUUAGUUGGUUCCUUGUACCUAGGCCAUGGUUUUAAUCUGUGGCAUUUAAUAUUCUACUGUAACUGGGGGGAGAAAUUCGGUCCCUUGAUUGGGAAUUCCCAGAUUUUAGGGUCUUGAGAAN
rnacentral:lncRNA from 1 species